GAUGAACGCUGGCGGUCUGCUUAACACAUGCAAGUCGAACGAACUCUUCGGAGUGAGUGGCGGACGGGUGAGUAACGCGUGAGAAUCUGCCUGUGGGUCGGGGACAACCACUGGAAACGGUGGCUAAUACCGGAUGAGCCGAAAGGUAAAAAAUUUAUUGCCCACAGAUGAGCUCGCGUCUGAUUAGCUAGUUGGUAAGGUAAAAGCGUACCAAGGCGACGAUCAGUAGCUGGUCUGAGAGGAUGAGCAGCCACACUGGGACUGAGACACGGCCCAGACUCCUACGGGAGGCAGCAGUGGGGAAUUUUCCGCAAUGGGCGAAAGCCUGACGGAGCAAGACCGCGUGGGGGAGGAAGGUUUUUGGAUCGUAAACCCCUUUUGUCAAGGAAGAAGUUCUGACGGUACUUGACGAAUAAGCCUCGGCUAACUCCGUGCCAGCAGCCGCGGUAAUACGGAGGAGGCAAGCGUUAUCCGGAAUGAUUGGGCGUAAAGCGUCUGUAGGUGGCCAGCUAAGUCUGCUGUUAAAGAUCACAGCUCACCUGUGGGAAGGCAGUGGAAACUGGCAAGCUAAAGGCUUGGUAGGGGUAA
rnacentral:rRNA from 1 species